GCAGCAGGCGCGAAACCUUUACACUGCACGCCAGUGCGAUAAGGGGACUCCAAGUGCGAGGGCAUAUCGUCCUCGCUUUUGUGUACCGUAAGGUGGUACACGAAUAAGGGCUGGGCAAGACCGGUGCCAGCCGCCGCGGUAAUACCGGCAGCCCAAGUGAUGACCGCUCUUAUUGGGCCUAAACCGUCCGUAGCUGGCCGUUCAAGUCCAUCGGGAAAUCCGCGCGCCCAACGCGCGGGCGUCCGGUGGAAACUGUUCGGCUUGGGACCGGAAGACCUGAGGGGUACGUCUGGGGUAGGAGUGAAAUCCCGUAAUCCUGGACGGACCACCGGUGGCGAAAGCGCCUCAGGAGGACGGAUCCGACGGUGAGGGACGAAAGCUCGGGUCACGAACCGGAUUAGAUACCCGGGUAGUUCGAGCUGUAAACGAUGUCUGCUAGGUGUGACACAGGCUACGAGCCUGUGUUGUGCCGUAGGGAAGCCGUGAAGCAGACCGCCUGGGAAGUACGUCCGCAAGGAUGAAACUUAAAGGAAUUGGCGGGGGAGCACUACAACC
rnacentral:rRNA from 1 species